UACGGGGGGGGCAAGCGUUGUUCGGAAUUACUGGGCGUAAAGGGCUCGUAGGCGGCCAACUAAGUCAGACGUGAAAUCCCUCGGCUUAACCGGGGAACUGCGUCUGAUACUGGAUGGCUUGAGGUUGGGAGAGGGAUGCGGAAUUCCAGGUGUAGCGGUGAAAUGCGUAGAUAUCUGGAGGAACACCGGUGGCGAAAGCGGCAUCCUGGACCAAUUCUGACGCUGAGGAGCGAAAGCCAGGGGAGCAAACGGG
rnacentral:rRNA from 1 species